AGAGCAAAUCAUCCAUCCAUCAAGCCAGAUCUUUUCCGGUCUGAUCAAGUCGAUCAUCGACGUCGACAUUCCCUUAGACCGAUAAGGAACUGCUCAUCACCACGAAAAAUGUCCAGGUUUUCAUACUGACCAAGCAAAUCAUCUACGUGAACAGUCCCAAAAUUUUCAACGUUAAGGCCCUCCUCGGCUUCAUUCUCAGUAUCCUCAAUGGCUUCAGUAUCCUCAAUGGCAAGGUUCU